AGCUGGUCAAAGAACCCGGAUCUUCCGAGAUUCAGUCUAGUGCCUUAGAUGUAGGACCGUCUUUUCAGAAACAGCAUUACUUGGCAUCUCUAUGCAGUUUCAGGAGAGAGGUCAAUAACUGAAUGAUCAUGGAAACUGAAUUACUCUUUCACCCCUAGAAGUGGCCUUUCCAGAGCAGGUUUGAGUUGGGCUAAUGGGAUAGUACAAGAAGAAGUUUCUGCUGAUGGUGCUGUAUCCUACUGUAUGGAGAAACAGAGAACUUGAGUCUUCAGGGCUGCCUAUCUGCCACACUUUCACUUAGGAAAAGGCUCAUUCUGUUUCCCCACUCCUCUUUAUCUCUUUGCUUUUGUUGGCUAGAAGUAGGUAAAAAAAAACUCUACAUGGAUGUUGUUUCAAAAAAUUUGGAGAGUUUUGAAUUUUUAUUCUAGAUUUUUUUUUCUUUUUGUAGAGAGUGAUUGUAAAAUCAAUAGCUUUUUUUUUUUUACCCUAACAAAUGGUUGAGUUUGAAAAUGAGUUGGGUUCUGGGCUUUCACAUUGCAAAAUGAUUUAAGUGUAUUGGAUUUCUUUUCAUGUUUAAAAAGAAACUUCAAAUCCUUCCAACCGAUAAACUAUAAAAGUUAUAGCGCUGCAAUAAAUUUAAAUUGUUCUACCCAACAUCAGUCCAGACACUAGAUGCUGGUUUCAAUAAAAUUAGUUUUAGUUUUUUUGAAGCAGAGUAUUGCAGCUGGUUUGACAGAUGAGAGGCUCCUGUUCUGGUGGACACAAUGAGAAUGCUGACAGACCUGACUUGAAAUAAGAGUCACUGUGGUCUGAAUCAAUUUCAGUUCUCAAAUAUGGGGAAGAGGGCAAAAAGUUAAUCCUGGCUUCCCUACCUUCAGUGUGUCUGAAUGCCUGUAACAGGAGGCUGGGCUUGUCUGAAAUGCUCCAUCCUGAUAGCAGGUGUUGCUCCUAUUGCAAAAGGGACAUGUGGAUUCUGCAGAUACAUGGGUGGCUUGUUAGCUUAAUUGGUAUAAGGGAGGUGGGAGUGGCUCUUUGGAGAGAAAGAUGAGCUGUCCUGAAAUAAGAAUUCCAGCAGCAGUCCCUGAGGCUGGGAAGAAGGCUUCAGCUGAACUUUAUAUUGUUAUUAAUAAAGCCAAAACCCCAGCAAGAAGCUGAGAUUUUUGUCUCUUCACAUGAAUUCUAAUUUAGAGCAGGUUUGGAAAGGCUCCUGCUCACAGUUUUCCUGCUCCUCUCAUCUUUUGUUUCUUAUUGAUUUAAAGUUCCGUGUUCUGCAGCUAACCCCAAUAUUCCAGCAAAAUUGCUGUCUGCCUCUUUCACUAGCUGCCAGGGGACAGCUUGGCAGUUUCAGAUGCUGUUUUGGAGCCAGCUGCCGCAUUCUCCCUCCCACCCAGGACAGCCAGCUAAACCCAUUGGAGGAUGAGCAGGAGGAUGCUGGAGAGGAGCUUCCUCCUGAGAGCCAGGGUCUUUGUGAAGUAGAAACCUGACAAUGGCCAGCUGGAAAGCCAGCCUCAUCUUGCCCUUCAGCAAUUGCCCCUGAUUCCUGCCCUGCAUUGGCUGAGCCUGAGCCCCAGCCAGAAACCCAGGCUGCGGCCAAAGAGUCAGAUCCCCUGGAGGGAAUUUUGGCAUCCACAGCCCCUGCAACAGCCAGAACAUCAAGGACAGGGCCUCUAAUGCACUGCUGACAGGCUGGAUGACCUGAGGGGAAGAAAAAGAGACUCGGGAUGAGAUGUUUGCAGAACUCAUGGCAGAGUCAGAGGAAAACUAACUGGCUAUGAAGUGGAGGACCCAGAGGGAAAAGAAGUGCACCUCUCCCAGAAGACUAUGGCAAUGGGUUUUGUUAAAACUGAAAGUGUUUGCUGUAAAAGGUCAGUUUUGACAAAUUUCUUGGUUCAUAAAUUGUGGAAAAUUUUUUGAAAUUGUUGAAGGGUUCCAUUUUGACAUUUUCUAAACAAAUAGGGGAUUUUAUUUCAGUUUGAAGUGACUUUUUGUUUCAAAAUGUAAGCUAAUUAUGGUAAAAUAAUGUUUUAAAGGUUGAAAUAAAAAUGAAAUGCUUUGAUUGCCCCAUACCAAAAUUUAUUUGGGUUAUCUGUUCACAAAACUGUUUGUGAUUUUGACUUUUUGUCCCAAUUCACUAUAGAGAAAAAUUUUGAAAUCUUGGAAUUUUUCCAGGGAUAUGAGAAGAAUUUUCAGGCCACCUCUAAGAACAAGCUCAUUAAUUACUGGAAAUUUCCGUAUCUCAUUUUCCCCAAUCUGAAUUACUUUAAUCAGAUAGGCACUUAAUCUUGUCAUUAUUAAAAGAUGAAUAUUUUUAUUUGGUUUUGUCUGUGUACUGUCCCUUACCAUUUGUGCCUAGUUGAAAUGUUUUUUUUGAAGGUGGGUCUACUGCUCACAAAUAUAGGUGCCCUUAGGGACAGAGACCUGUCAUAUACUGUACCUGACUCAUUUUAGUAGGUUCCUACUAUAGCACUUAUUUAAAUUUUAUUACUUAAUUAUCAAAAUAAUACAGCACAAGUAACUCAUGGGUUGCUGCACAGUCUCCUGUGGCCUCCUUCUUUCUGCUUCAACUAAAAUUGCUUCUGGAGUUUGUCUCUCUGAAUGUUUGCAAGACUGGCAUUAAU